rnacentral:lncRNA from 1 species
AUGCCUCGGACAUCUCAAAGCUUCCCUGAGAGCUGCGCACGCUUGAUGGAGUUUCCCUUGGGACUGCCUCUCCGGCCAACCCUCACAGCUCUUCUGGUGCUGUGCUUUGGGCCCAAGGCCUCUCCUGGGAGCCCCCAUCACCCUGCCCUGGGAGUACAGUGCUGGCUGGAAGGAGCAAUGCGGAGCACCAAGGAGAGGUUUUCCAGCCCUCGGACCUGCCCCCAUCACCCCAGUUCUUGCAGUGAAGCACGUGCAGAUGGGCAGGCUGUCUGGGGCUGGCAGGUGUGCUGACAUGUCCCAAAGGGACACCGUGCCAAGCUGGGUGCCGGCCACAUCGGGAAGCAGCAGGAGGUUAACAGGAGGCACAAUUGCCCCGCUUGUUUCUCCCUCCCAGUGGAGCUGCAGUGACUGAAUCGUCGCACAUCCAGCUCCGUUGUGUGAAUGUCUCUGCUCUUGUCCUUCCUAACCCUGACUUGUUGAUCGCAGAUCGGCAGUAAGUACUGCUGGAAGUGCUUCGUGCUGAAACCGUUGCUGUUUCCACUUAUUUUACACUUGAUUAUAGAUGAUGUAAAAAAAAAAAAAAAAAAAUCAACAACAGAACUAUACAUCUGUGACUUGUCAGAACUCUUUGUCACAUCUCUGAGUGCCAAUAAACAUGAAGUCUGCAUCCA